rnacentral:rRNA from 1 species
UGGGGAAUAUUGCACAAUGGGGAAGCCCUGAUGCAGCAACGCCGCGUGAGCGAUGAAGGCCUUCGGGUCGUAAAGCUCUGUCCUCAAGGAAGAUAAUGACGGUACUCGAGGAGGAAGCCCCGGCUAACUACGUGCCAGCAGCCGCGGUAAUACGUAGGGGGCUAGCGUUAUCCGGAAUUACUGGGCGUAAAGGGUGCGUAGGUGGUUUCUUAAGUCAGAGGUGAAAGGCUACGGCUCAACCGUAGUAAGCCUUUGAAACUGGGAAACUUGAGUGCAGGAGAGGAGAGUGGAAUUCCUAGUGUAGCGGUGAAAUGCGUAGAUAUUAGGAGGAACACCAGUUGCGAAGGCGGCUCUCUGGACUGUAACUGACACUGAGGCACGAAAGCGUGGGGAGCAAACAGGAUUAGAUACCC